CCCCGUGUGCCCCAGUCCCCGUCUACUCCCUUGGCUGCUGGCGGCCCGCCCUCCUGUGUGCGCCAGGCCUCUCCUAGCGGACUGCCUCCCGCCCUCAGCUCCAGAUAAGCUUCAGGCUGAGAAGGCGAGGCAGGUGCAAACAAGCAUCUCCAAGGUCACGACCUUCCCUUGCACCUGUCACCGCGCUGGCACAGGACUGUGCAGGGGAAUCCGGAGGUCCCUCGGUUCCUUCCUCUGCCUCCAGACUUUGAACACGGCCACUUCCGGCAGCAGGGCAGCCCUUCCCUCUCAAGGCUCCUCUGGAAACCCGCCCACUGCUUUGGAUUGUGGCAUCUUGAGCAUCUGACGGUUUUUGAUGUGCCUCCUAGCUCUCAGGCCACCCACUGCUACUACUCCUAUUCUGGGCUUGCCCUUCUAGGGGUGCAGCCCUGCCCCAGACCUUCCAUCUGUCCUUCCUCUGGGCCAGGGGAUAACAGCUGGCUAUUGGAUCAGUAACCUGGGAAAGGGCGCAUAGCGAGGUCCCUGAGUCGAAUGUGGUACUUUUCCCAGGUAAUGUAUUUGCAUUUUAAUAGGAGUCCCCUGGGUGGAGGGAGAGUGUUAAUUUAAAGGGAUUUUUCAGGCACUGGAACAAGCUGGUGUGUGUGUGUGUGUUAUGUGAGGAGAGAGAAGAGGAGGAGGAAGAUCAUGGCUGCCAUUUAUCAACGCAGCAAAAAGGACAUAGAAGAAACCCUUUGUCCCUCUCAUCCAGCGAUGACACUGUUAAUAUCGUGGUGUAUAUCCUCCCAGUACCUGGUGUCGUAGAGAUGAAUGAGCAUCCUCAUCUCUGGCAGUCAAAUUGAGACACUCAAUUCUAUAAAACUCACAAGCUGCAACACAGUUUCUAUGUGUGCCAUUUGGUAACACACUCCUUGUUCCAGAAAUCCCACCUCUAGGAAUUUAUUCUAAAGAAAAAUCUAGAAUAAUAAUACCAUUAGCUACCAUGUUCUGAAUUUUAAUUGUGCACCAAGGGUUUUACACACAUUGGUUCAUUUGAUUCUUGCACCAAGCCUGCAAAGCAAUAAUGUCACCCCUCACCUGAGGCUAGAGAAGGAAAGGACCUUGUCCAGGGCCCUCUGUAGGAGGUGAGUCAGGAGCUGGGGCCCAGCGUGGACGAAGGGACCCCAGGAAAAGGCAUCCUCCACCUGGAUCCCCUCAGAGAUGAGUGCAGCCAUUGUACCAGAGUCUCCUGUCCCCUUACCUCCCUCCCCAACUCCCCAAUCCCCCAACCCCUCCAACCUACCUCCGCAUCCCCCUCUAUCCCUCCCCCCCGCCAAAUGUGCAAAGGCCCUGAGUGGGAGGAAUGUGACCAAAAGUCUUGCCCUCAUCCUCAGGGGUGGGGGGCAGCGGGUGACAGUGCCGCGGUGCCUCCCACCUGCCUAGUUUCAGCUCUUCUUUGACAGCUCCUUGUCCAGGAAGCCUUCGCUCCAUCUCAGACAGUUCGGUCUCUCCUUUGUUCUCCUGCUGUGGUGGAGCCACCGCACAACAGCUCAGAAGAUGUUCUGCGGCGUCGUCACAGUGUUUCGCACAUGUUCCUGGGAUCCCAGUCAGAAUUCUCUGGGGAGCUGUGAAAAGUGCCGAUCAACGGAAUCUGAUUCCCUGGUGCCGAGGUUCAGGACCUGCGCCUCACGAGCCUUUCGUGGGCUUGGAGCACACUCGAGCGGGAGAGAAACUGCGUGGCUUACCUGCCUCCUCAGAGCAGGGACUCUGGCACUGUCCUUUGUGUCCCCUGGCAUUGAGCACAGGGAUGUGCAGCCGACACAAGUGUGUGUGAAUUCAGUGCAGAGACACAUUUCUCAGGAAGGAAAGCGGAGUGGGGGCGGUGGACGACGUGGGAUAACUGGGGAGGGCGUGAGUGGGAGCCCGUGCAGGAGAGCGAGAGAGGUGGGAAGUCUUAGGCUGAUUUGGGAUGCCCGCUCUGGGGGUCCUCUGAAUGCUGCCAAUAGAUAGUCAGUGAAUGUCUUUUCCCCUCCACUUUUUCCGCAGACACAUACUUUAGUCCCAGAAAUUAUUUUUGAAACCUGAACUUUCAAUGCCAGAACGAGUAAUUGCAUAUAAAGUGGGUCACAAGGAAGUGAUAACUAAUGCACAGGCUAUUUUAACUGCUGAAUCAGAAAUUUCUAAGCUACAUUAUGAAAUAUGCAGGAAGGAAAAUAAGCAGAUGAUAGGAGUGGAAGGAAUCCUAAAAUAAUGUUUUCACAAACAAAUUCUGGCCCAACAUACGCCUGAGCGGUGGGAGUGGGGGAGCUCCAGUGACACACAAUGAGAGUUGAAGAACUGGAAUGAAAUUGCCAAGCUGGAAUUCUUUCUGAACGACGUAGGACCCCUGAGGCACGUGGCCCACACCCCACAAACCCACAGCCUGCAGGACUUCGGCCGUGUCGUGGGGGCACCUUGUCACUGCUUCACAGCACAGGCAGACAGGGCUAAAGAGAGCAAAGACAGACAAAGCCACAAACACAAUGUAGAAAUCUUUUCUAUUGGCUAUUCCUCAAACAAAUAAAACCCAUCUUUUUGGUUCAAUUUAUUUCAUAGAGUUUUUUUCAUUGUGGUAAAAUAUGCACAACUUAAAAAUUACUAUUUUAAUCAUGUUUAAGUGUACAAUUCAGUGGCAUUAAGUAAAAUUCACAGUGUUGUGCAACUGUCACCACUAUCUAUUUCCAGAACUUUUGCAUCAUCCCUAGUAGAAACUCUGUGUCCAAUAAGGAGUAACUUCCCAUCCCCCAGCCCCUAGCCCCUGGUAACCAUUGUUUUACUUUCUGUCUCUAUGAAUUUG
ensembl:lncRNA